UAGGUUUUCCUGUACAGGUCGUCCCCCAUGAGCUGAUAUCUCGCAGACAGAGUUGUAGUCCUUCGUGCUUCCAGUGGAUCAUGUGGAAGUACUUUGUAAUUCAAAUAUUUGAAGAUUUUUUUCAUCCAGGAACCCUCAAUUUCUGAUUGUGUCAUAUUCGAGCUCUAGAUUUGCUUUUCUUCAAUUCGAGCUUACAGAUUGCUGGUCUAUCAAGAACUCAAACACUAAAUGUUCUUUUACAAGCUCCUGGUAUUGCAGAUCCCAGUAAAGCUAGUCAAUCUGCGUGCCUUACUUUGUUUCUGGCUACCUUCCUGAUGCUGACCUUGUCAAAACUCUCAAGUAGCUUGUUUAUGAGGUUUCUGUAUUGCAUAUUCGUGGUAUUUCUUGAUUCAAAAUGUCCUCCCACUUGCUUUGAAUUUAACCAAGAGUCAGUAUAGAGGAUAAACUCUUUGAGAUUUAGACUUUUAGCAUCUAGGAUUCCUUGCAGCAUUGCUUAGUACUCAACUUAAUUAUUGAUUGGGUUGAAGGCUAGGACGUAAGCUAUUUUCUGAUGUAAUUAUGACAACUCCAUAUCCUCCACCCUGUUCAUUUGAAGAUCCAUCCACAAAUAUUUUCCCAACUCCUAGGGUGUUCAUGGAAGAAUCAUCAACUAGGUGGUACCUCGGGCUCAGACAGUACUUCUAUUUGUCCCUCACAUAAUUUUAGAUCGAAGUUAGGAUCGUCAAUUGGGAAAUCAACUAAAAAAAUUUGUCACUGUUUGGCCUUUCACUACUUUCUGUGGUCGAGAACUAUGGUCUUAGUUUGACAAAGGAGAAGCAGAUAGCAAAAAUAACUUUCUCGAGUUGGGAGUACCUUGUUUAUGGUGGUGCCAGAGUUUUGCUGAGGAAAUAUAUUGGCUUCUCUUUGUUGUCUUCUACUCCAACCAGCAUUGCACUCGAAGUUGUUGAAGUGUUUGCAAUGUAGAGAUAUAAAUCUUCGUCUGGCAUUGGCAGAGAUAGUAUCAGCAGAUGAGAGGAAGCGGGAAGCCAUCCUUCGGGCAAGCUUUAUUCAAGUUGGCGAAAUCGAUGCAAACUCGGACUUUCCCAUUCUUUUUCAUGACAACUACGAUGUUAGAGAUCCAGACAGGGUAUUACCACUCCCUUAUUAGGUCUGCAUCUAACAUUCUUUCAACGUCUGCAUUUAUUGCAUCCUAUAGCUUACCUGCAUUUACUGCAUUGGUAAGUGCAUAAUUCACAUGAUUUUAGUGUCGAUUAUGUUAGAGCAUUGCUCGGUCGAACUGACAAGUGUUGAUAUCUCAAGCUUGUUGCCAAAUUUAGUUGAUCAAAACUAUAUAUUGAGUUCUAUUCUACAUUUAGUCAAGUCUCUGAUUAGAAUAGAAGUGUGUAGUUGAGUACCAGACAUCACUACGAUCUACCGUUUGAAGGCGAAGAUCAACCGAAGCUUUUGGGAAACUUCAUAAACAAAAGGCAAGUAAAGACUGAACCACAUAUUACUCAAGUUUUCACCUUUCUAUCUAUGAGACAACAUUGCAUGGCUAAAUUGGACUUUACAUGCAUAGCAGAA